CUCGUGACCCUCAUUUCUGAUACCGGGAGUUUGACGAAAUAAGAGUCACUACGUAAGCUAAUCAGUGAAGGUUUGACGUCUCCGGGAUCAAGAACAGAGAUCGGGACCUAAGAGUUAUGUCUUUACCAUGUGACUACAGUGAGCGGUCCAUUCGACAUCAUCCUAAGGACCAAUACAGGUUGAAAUGGGCUUCGAUCCAACAAGUUCAACAGCAAUUUGCCUUGGAAAUUGUCAAGAAAGUGAUGACGUCAUAUCUCCUGGACCCCACAACUUCACAGCUUACGGAGAAAAUUCAAGAAUUUGUGCAAAAUAUGGGACUUGGAAAGAAUCGUUAAAAUAUAUGUGAUCAAUGAAUAUUGUGUAACAUACGAAAGUGUGAAUUUAAUGAAAAACAAGUAAAUAUCCUCAUGCAUCACCCGCCCUUUUCAAGUAAAUUAUACUGACUAAAUAUAGAGGACAUGUCAUUGUUGAUUAUUGUGAUUCUUCGAUAAAUCAAAAUCAGUAAAUAUUUCAAAAUGAAAAUGUCUAUCUUAUAACUUUAAUCAAUGUGUGAAUUUCUCUUGCAAAUUAAAGG